UGUGUGAGACCGACCUUAAACUUUCUCCGACCCUAUCUCGGGAUGCUACGGCUCAGGUCGUGGUGGUUUCGGGAACCUCAAGACAACAUUCCCCAGCUGACCUUUGGGAACUUUAACUCGGGUCGUCAUGUACGGAAAGGUAGUCUAUGGGGUACGCAGAAUGGAAAAGGGCUUCCACAUCAGUCGUGUCCGAGGACGCUCUCCAACUUUUGAUGUCCCUGGAGAGUUUCUGAUAUUUCCCUGGAGAGUUUCAGAAAGGAUUUCUUCCGACAGACGUGACCCCAGAAGGCUGCCGAGGGAGACUUUAGGACAAGAGGCGUUGUUUUUGGAAGGAAGAGGAGCCUGUGCAGAGUUGAACUGGGGUGGAGAGGUGCCUUGUAAAGUAUGGUUUCCAGAGAUGGUGAGACCUCGUAGCUAAGCGUUGUUUCCUCUGCACGUAACUGUGAGUUGUGAACUUGUGGCUCCUGGGGGAGCGGGACAGGGCCUGGCAGUGCGGGGGAGGGGGCAAGGAAUUCAGGAAGUUGGCGAGAAUUCUUCGUUUUUCAUUCUUCGUUGUAAAUUGCUUCUAAACACUUCUGAAUUUUAAAUUGCUACCGAGAAGGUCCAGAAACCGUUCUCAUCCAAUUUAGUCACUUUUAUUACGUUCCACUUUGCCUCCCCCAAUCACUGCGGCGGCUCCCAGUUUCAGCGUGGCCGCAUUUGGAAAAGGCUGAAGGUAGAAAACUCUGGAAUGGAGAGGCUGGCGACUGGAGCAGGAUCCAGGGGCUUUAAAUUUUAACCUGAAUGCGAUCGAAUGCGCGACUCCCAGAAGAGAUAGCCAGGCGUCCGCCCGGCCGCUCAACCCCCGCCAGGACUCGGAAUGCCUUGCUUUUGGUUCUUUUCGUGAGUUCCGACCAAAUGUUUAAGUGGACUGGGUUUUGCAGAAGCUCAUUUGUAAGCACUGACGGAAAUGGGUUGUGGGCAUUUGAUUUCCUUUGAUUCCAACGUUUUGAAAUAAUGUUUCUCGGAUUUGCUAUUCGAAGCAAUUUUCUAAAAACUCAUAUCUUAUUUGCUAAAAAUAAACUCUUUGGCUCAGUUUGUGUCCAGGCUGUGUACGGCCUCCAACCCUGAGCCCCGAGGAGAUCGAGCCCUGGCGCGAGCCUGAUCUCUGUCCUGUGUGUUUCUUUGUAUUUGCAAGUACAAGGAUGUCUGCGUGGAUAUCCCUGGACACUCGAUACCCCCCGGGGACCUGCUUUUCCCGCAGCUCCGCAGACGCGGCGGGAGGGCGCGCUGGCCCCGGCGCUGCUGGGACAGAGGUGAGCAGCGGGGUGGACAUUGACCGAUUCGACAACGUUCGGGCUCUAAGGGCUCGGGAAGGGACCCGGCAUUUUACCCUCCAGAUUCCCAAUCUAUUUUUAAAAAUAAUGUUCAAAACAUAUGGGAAAAAUAAGUGAUUGCUCCUUUUCAUGGUCACAGAUUGUAUUUAUUUUUUCAGACUGGUUUUCCAACCUAACGAGGGAAUGGGUAGUGAAUGUUGUUGUUGUUGUUGUUGUUUAUGUUGGUUAAUUUCGAAAUAAAACUGUUUAACUCGUACAGUUGAUUCAGACAGAAAACCAGGCUGCCUGACGUCUCCAAUGUGCCUUUUCCCCAAUGCAUCUUUGGCGCUAGGGACCGCUCUGGGGAAGACAAGCAUGUUUUCAAAGCCACUCCCAU
rnacentral:lncRNA from 1 species